UUAUUGCCUAAUUAUUUUUCCUUGAUUUGCGUCAUGUCUGAAUAAUUCCAUUGUUCCUUGUAUGGCAAUUCCCUUAUCAGUUUUCGACCUAUAUAACGGCCCUGUAUCCCUCAUGAUAUUCAUAAGUUCAUCGACAGCCACUGCGUAAACAAGUGCUUCCAGAUCAAGACUGUGACCAAGCUCCUCCAAAGCAAAGACCCGAACAUCAACGUCCGCUCUCUGCUCUGCUGAAUCGUGACUCCUGAAUAAGACUCUACAAGAUGCAAAAUCUCAUGCUGCUCUGUAAGGCUAUGUUCCUGGCGGCGGAUGCGAGGCCAGAACCCGGGACGAAGUUGCCCUGCAAUCCAAGACAAGUGAGUAUAUCAUUUCUGCAAACUGCAUCCGUCUGAGUGUCUUGUUACUGUUGCAACUUCUGAGCAAAGAGUUUGUCGUCUGCCCCAACCCUGCAGAGCGUCUUCUAAAAGCUUUAACGAAAUUAAUGUUGAUUUUUCUAUUUUCAGUACACCGAUCCCACGAGGUCCCGCUCAAAAGAGGAACCACCGGAAGCACACCAAAAGGUUGUCAAGAUUCCAGGGAUCCUGUCGACCCGAAUAGGAUUCCUUGACGGCCCAAAUCUGAAUCAACGUUGGCCCUUUGAAUAUAGAGUUGUUGUGCCUGACCGUGCUUAAGAUUUUCGUUAUGUAUUCACGCUGUAAACAACCGAGUAGUUGAUAAGUUUUCUUAUUGCAAUGCUUCUUUUUCUUCACUUUUUAAAAUAAAGAUUAUUGCGCAAUAUUUCUUGGUAUCAUUGACGUAGAAUAAGCUGACGCAACGUCCAGUAGGUAUCCCAACUCACCUGUAUACCUGGCUGAGCUUAGGUCACGAUCGGUCUGCUAGGCUGAAUGGAAUGUGCAUCGGACCGACGUGCAGAUGUAGGCUUCACGCUGCAACUCGUGCAACGCGGUUACCCUAGGACUUAAGAUCGUUUCAAGAUAGAGCUUUGUCUCCUGAUUUCAACAUGCACUGAUGACUGCAGUGGUGAGCUCGAUGGUGCAGCCGCAAGACUAUCUUGUACGGAGCUCAAAAAGUUAGUAUGUUAAAACGUAUGCACGUAGUCUUCGAUUAUUAACAAGAUUAGGUACAAACUACUCCAGUUUAAAAACAAACGGUAUGAUAACAUUCAUUCGAUUAGGUAUACCUAUGCCAAAAUUCCAUUUAUGGCCGGCGUGUACAGGAAAUCCAUUCAAUUUAGGCAUAACAGUUGACGCAGUAACAUGAUCGCAAUAUGACUAAAUGUUAUUAUCGCUUAUUCACCUAUAUUUUUUUCCUGGAUUGUUACCUCAUUAUUAUAGCAUUUACGUCAUCGGUUUUUAUUUUUCCUAUUAUUAUCCGGGCAUUGUUAUCGCCACCAGUAUAUAGAGUCCCUAAAUCCGUUAUGAAAUUCAUAAGCUCAUGUGCAACCACUACCUGAACAAGUUUGUCCAGAGCAACACUCCCAGACUCUGCAAAAUGCACAGGAUACGAAGAAGUGAGUAUGUCAUUCCUAUACAAACGCAUAUCAACGAUCCGUUGCAACUCAAAGAGUUUGUCGCGCCAAUCCUUCAGAACUUUUUGUAAACUUCAACGAAAUUAAUGUUAAACUGUCCAUGUUCAGGUCACCGAUCUCACCAGGUGCCGUUGCACGAAAGCAUGGGAUACGGACAAACUACCGCAAGCACACUCCCACGUCGUCAAGAGAUCGAGCAGGGUGAUAAAGACCUGAAUUGGAUUCCUCAGUGGUUCAAACUCAAAUCAAUCCUCAUUCUCAUGAGUCUGAUGCUGUUUGAGGCGUUCGUUUCAUCUAGUGUUCAAAUUACGUGGAUUAUAACUUUACUUCAUAGUGUAGUGAUCUUGUUUUACUUGUUGAAAAUAGAAAUUAAUAUCCAAUACUUCUUGGUAUCAUUGAUGUAGAAUAAGUUGACGCGACACCGCGUCUAGUAGGUAAUCCCAACUCACGUAUAUGCCUGAGCGAGCUUAGGUCACGAUCGGUCCGCUAGGCUGCAUGUGCAUGGAAUGUGCAUCGGACCGACGUGCAGAUACGCUGCAAUUUGUGCAAGGCAAUUACUGCACUCUUAUCGGUCGAGGUUUUACAUCGUUGCAUGAUAGAGCGUAGCCUUCUGCGUCCGAAAAUACCACCCCCCGCUACCCCCGAGCCUUAACUUGGGAGUUAUAGCCCGUAAGUUCCAGUACAACGGACUGUAGCUCGUUAAAGAGUUACCAGACAAAUAUAUAAUGCUUUGCUAUUGUUCACACAAAAGAAUAGAGACAUAGUAUUCCUCAUAAACAUGUAGCUGUGAGAAUACUUUCACACACACACACAAAUUCUUUACAUGUUAUUCUUAUUACACUACACACAUAUAAACGCUACAACUUGAGACAGUGAAUGUACUGUACUGCAAGCACCAGAUGUCUUGACAGUUGCAAGAUGCAGGGUGCGGUGCUUACGGGUGCAUCUGAUGCCUCGUAUCAUCCUGACAUCACCAUACUGAGGAACUUGGUGUUCUUGUAACGGUGUGAACUAGUCCAGACCACAGUAUUCCUGCUGUGCUGUGCGUGUACCGAGGCCACGCAACGAAGGAGCUCGGCCAUCAAGACAACUGAUCCCGGAAGUAUGUGCAUUACCCACUAACUCACUUCCUAUAUUCAAUUUUUUUUCCUCAGUAAUAAAAAAUCAGUAACGACUACAAAUGGAAGAUUCACGCUGGUAACUGCGACCAGGGGCUGCUGAUGACGCGGUGGUACCGGCAAAGGAGAGGGUGCGGUACUAAGGCGUCGCCGGCAGUGGUCCGCUGAGCAAGAGGGCAGGUCGCGCAUCACAGUUUCUGCACGUAGUUGGCUGGCAUGAGCCCCUCCUUGCCGUUCAGGCGCCCGGUCCACCAGCCACUCUCGUCUGCAACAGUCGCGCGACGGCGUACUGCACUACACCGCACUAGCGCUGGUCUGCAGGCUUACCACUUCCUCUCUGACCAGUGGUGAUGGCCGAGGAUACUCACUGAGACAAGUUGAUAGCUUAACCUCUAAAGACCUAGCUGUCGACAAGAUGUACGGUAGCAGAUCACAAAAAUAAAA